rnacentral:rRNA from 1 species
AGAGUUUGAUCAUGGCUCAGGAUGAACGCUAGCUACAGGCUUAACACAUGCAAGUCGAGGGGAAACGACAUCGAAAGCUUGCUUUUGAUGGAUGGCGACCGGCGCACGGGUGAGUAACACGUAUCCAACCUGCCGACAACACUGGGAUAGCCUUUCGAAAGAAAGAUUAAUACCGGAUGGCAUAGUUUUCCCGCAUGGGAUGAUUAUUAAAGAAUUUCGGUUGUCGAUGGGGAUGCGUUCCAUUAGGCAGUUGGCGGGGUAACGGCCCACCAAACCAACGAUGGAUAGGGGUUCUGAGAGGAAGGUCCCCCACAUUGGAACUGAGACACGGUCCAAACUCCUACGGGAGGCAGCA